CCUCUUCUUUCCUCUCCCCCUCUGCUAUUCUCUUUUCCUCUCCCCCUCUGCACUUCUCUUCUUUCCCCUCCCCCUCUGCACUUCUCUUCUGUCCUCUUCCCCUCUGCUCUGCGCUCCCUGCUUUGUUUGCCUAUUAUGGGGGAAAUCCUUAACUGAAUUGCGUCAGAGCUACGUCAAUGGCCUCUCAGUGCAUUGAUGCUGAGGAUAGAGACGCCCAUAUUAAUCUAUGGGAGAAGAACGUAAAAUCGGUUGCCAUAUGGUCCUGUCAAACCAACUGUCCCGACCCCGGUGUCUGAUCUUCCCCGGGCAGUAGGCGCCGGUGACCCAGAUCUGUCUCGUGCCCGACCGUGAAGGCAGAAUCUCCGGUGGGCUAUCAGCGGGCGGGAUUCGGCUUGGAGCAGCGGUCUAUCUCCGACUACGAUGCCGUUCUCCCAGCCGCACGAACCCUGGGACAAAAUGGAGGUGACCAGCGUUAGUAGUGAGGUUAAUGGUCACCAGAUCCUGGAUGAGCCCAUGGACGAGGGAGAGUCUUUUACUCAUUGUGUGAGUAACAUGGAGGGUCUGUGUCACUGUGUGAGAAACAUGGAGGGUGUGAGUAACAUGNNNNNNNNNNGGAGGAUAGUAGAGGCUGGUUUAUCUGGUAGAGGCUGGUGUUCCUGGUGGAGGAUAGUAGAGCCUGGUGUUCCUGGUGGAGGAUAGUAGAGGCUGGUGUAUCUGGUGGAGGAUAUUAGAGGCUGGUGUAUCUGGUAGAGGCUGGUGUAUCUGGUAGAGGCUGGUGUAUCUGGUAGAGGCUGGUGUAUCUAGUAGAGGCUGGUGUAUCUGCUAGAGGAUAGUAGAGAUUGGUGUAUCUGGUGGAGGAGUGUGUUCCCGGUGGAUCAUAGUAGAGUCUGGUGUACCUGGUAGAGGCUGGUGUAUCUGGAGAGAAUAGUAGAGGCUGGUGUACCUGGUAGAGGCUGGUGUAUCUGGAGAGAAUAGUAGAGGCUGGUGUACCUGGUAGAGGCUGGUGUAUUUAAAGGAUAGUAGUGUCUUGGGUUUCCGGUAGAGUCGUAUUUUUUGAGAUUAUGUGGGCUUUAUAAAUAAAUAAAUAAAUAUUAAAAUACAUAGUUUGAAGUACAAACAUCAUUGUGGCAAUACAUAUCUUGCAGUAGGACUAUAUAAUAUUAAUCUCCAGAGUAGACAGGAUAAAUGUUAAGAGGUUUUAUGUUCUCUUUACUUCUAAAUUAGUCCUGAAGAUAUCGACCUAGAUCUUGACAAUAUCCAAAACAGCUAACAAUAAUUUCAAUUUUUACAAAUUCAGCCAUUUUUAAAUUGUGAAGUCAUAUCUUUUUACACAAUACCACAACUAAGUUUUCCAAUUUGGGAGGGAAAGUAGAUGAAGCUUUCAAUAAUUUACUGUGUAUUUCAGAUGGAAUCGAGGCAUUACAAUGUACCAGAGGACACCAACAUAGAGCUCCUUCUGCUACAGUAUGUACUUACAGAAAACUCACCUUCCAGAUGUGUAGCUGUGAAGACUGAGACGGUGUUCAUUCUUUACAGUCUAGAACCUUGGAGAAGGGGAGGGUGCUAAGAUGACGUAUGGAAUUGUUUUAAGAUAGUCAUACUAUGGAUAAUUUAGUUAUUUGAUUUAGAAUUUUAGGAGCCUUUCAGGAAUCAAAAAAUGAUUUGAUCAAACAUUGAUUUUCACCUUUUCUACUAAACCACAUAGAAACACAUUGAAUAACACAUUCAGAAAGGACAGUCAGAAUAUAAAUAAUAAGAUACAAGGUUUUGAAGUAUCAACAUUUUUUACACAUUUCACCUCAAAACUACCAUCAUAAUUCCAUUUGUUUAAAAAAGCCUGGUACCGGUUACCUUCAGAGGAGUCCUGUGACACUUGUUUGUAGCCCAAACGGUUUGGACACUACCAAACAGAAGUUGGCACAUCGACGCUACUGAAUUCAGAGAAGUCUCUGAACGGAGAACACCAUCAUGUUCGUGAGAGUCUCCCCUUUCCGUAGAGUGGUCAUAAUAGAUUCGGACGCUACAGAUGUUUUUGUGAGAAGAUAUUCGGGAUGUCUCCUGGUCUGACAAACACCACUCUAGUUCUGCCAUCUUUCAGCCCGGAAGUGAGACAUUGUCAGAUGCCUAUGUCUUGAGACUCAUCCAAUGCAAAAAAAAAACAUAUCCCUAGCUUAAACUGACAGAUUUUUUUACGAGGAUUGUUUUGUUAUGCACAGGUGCGUCAAUCGACUCUAGGGGGUUUGAAUGUUGAUCUGACGUCAUAAUAACAGGGUCAUUGGCUGUGCUGGAGCAGUAAGACAAACUGUAGACGAACGUCGGGGUGUGAAGUCAGGGGAGGUGCAUCUGGGACAGCAGUCGGACACGGUUGUUACCUACGGUUACCCACAUCAAGGCUCCGUGUAACAUGGCAGUGUUGCCCUUGUUUGAGUAACUGCAGCGACUUGAGGCGGCUUCAUAAAAAACCUGCAUGAACUUUGAUCACAAGUUCAUGCAGUCGAUAUGUAGACAUAUGCUCUGUGUACACGGAGUCUCACAUAUAAAUAAGAAAAGCACUUUUUUUGUCCAUUAAAAUAACAUCAAAUUGAUCAGAAAUACAGUGUAGACAUUGUUAAUGUUGUAAAUGACUAUUGUAGCUGGAAACAGCAGAUUUUUUGUGGAAUAUCUACAUAGGUGUACAGAGGCCCAUAAUCAGCAACCAUCACUCCUGUGUUCCAAUGGCACGUUGUGUUAGUUGAUCAUUUUAAAAGGCUAAUUGAGCAUUAGAAACCCCUUUUGCAAUUAUGUUAGCACAGCUGAAAACUGUUGUUCUGAUUUAAAGAAGCAAUAAAACUGUCCUUCUUUAGACUAGUUGAGUAUCUGGAGCAUCAGCAUUUGUGGGUUCGAUUACAGGCUCAAAAUGGCCAGAAACAAAGCACUUUCUUCUGAAACUCAUCA
rnacentral:lncRNA from 13 species